AUUGAACGCUGGCGGCAGGCCUAACACAUGCAAGUCGAACGAGUGGCGGACGGGCGAGUAAUGUCUGGGAACCUGCCUGACCGACCCGGCUAACUAGUGGAAACCGUAGCUAAUACCGCAAACCGUCGGUUCUGCCCAGAUGGGAUGAGCUAGUAGGUGGGGUAAAGGCUCACCUAGGCGCCGAUGCCUAGCUGGUCUGAGAGGCUGACCGGCCACACUGGGACUGAGACACGGUCCAGACUCCUACGGGAGGCAGCAGUGGGGAAUCUUGCGCAAUGGGCGAAAGCCUGAUGGAGCCAUGCCGCGUGUGUGAAGAAGGCCUUCGGGUUGUAAAGUUCUGUCGGCGGGGAGGCGUUACCUGCAGAAGAAGCACCGGCUAACUCCGUGCCAGCCGCCGCGGUAAUUC
rnacentral:rRNA from 1 species